ACACAGCAAAAUCACCAGUGUUAAAUUUUCAGGGAUGGUGUUAAAUACACAGUGUUGAUGCUGUUUUAACACUAUCUGGUAAUAAAAUAACACUGCCAUUGCUAGGCCAGUGUUAUAUUCACGACAGUGUCAGUGUUAAACAAGGGUGUUAUCAGAUUUCACUUUGAGCGGUGUAAAUCAAGCCACGCCUCCACUAAACAUUUCCUGUCAGGGAUUUUACCGCCAUUUUCUUUCACAGGAGGACUGAAGAGAUCAGGUAAAUCAGUCUCAUAAUAUUCACAUGGUUUGGCUAAAUUAAACUGUUAUUUCUCUGUCUGACUCUACGCAGCCAUAUGCCAAAAAACCUAAAUAAGAUAUUUUUCCCAUUUUAUUUCCCCUUUGUUCGUUAUUUGGUUCAGUUUAAUCAGAGCUACCUUGUGUUACGUUGUUCGUUCCCUUGUUAGUUUAGUAUAAAGUUAAACUGCUAGCUAAAAGUUUAAAACCAAGAAGGGUAAUUUUAACAGGAGAUAUGAACGAAAGAAUUGAACCAUGAUAAAAUGCGACAUGCACUACAAAUUGAAGGUAUGAAAUUAAGUUAAAUGAAACGAGGUUGUUUACAUGCACGUGAGUGCACGGAUAUCGGUUAAUUAUUCAAAUUACUGAAAAACACGGAGAAAACCGCAACUGCAUCGUCAUGUGUUUUUCUAAGAUGUAUGCAAACAGGGGAAAUAUCGCCAAACCAACAAUUCAUUUGACCAAAACCUCACAAUAUAUCAUCAUUUGUAUGCACAGAUUGGAUGCAUUGUGUGUUGUAAGCUUUUCGUGGCGCUAGAUGUCAGACAGAUGCAAAUGGCAAAUACAUACGGAAGUGUAAAACGUGUAUGGCGAACAUUUGUUUUUUUCUGUCAUUAUAGAUGCUAGUUUGGUGAAAGUUCACACUGAGUGCUUCAAAUCAUUCAGAAGAGAUGCUGUUUUUAGGGCAGUUUAUUAAAGAAGACCUGACAUGGAUGACUUCCAAUGAGAAACGACUGCUAAUACUUAUAUAAAUUCAUUACAGAAGGACCCUACCAGACUAUAUUUGAAUACGGCAUACCCAUGAAUUCUGGAACUGUUAUUCCUUAACCCAGUUUGGAGGAUAAGAGCUUACCAACUAGUUAUAAAUAUGCUGAGGUGAUGUAUUGCAAAAUAGCCAACAUACAACAAUAUGGAUGACCCUCUGUCUGGUCAACAGGAGUUUAAAUAUGGAUGGGACAGUUAUGUGGCAGCUCUUCCCUGGCUCAUUCACCUCUUGCCUUCAUUUGUAAAAGGAAGAAAGACUGGAGAGGGUCAAUGUGCAACUGAAGCUACUGAUUGUGCUGUGUGAUGAGCAUCAAUCCAUGCUUUGAGGGGAAUGAAUCAGCACAGCCAUGCCUGCACUGCGUUGGGAACAGAAGUUGCAUCCAGAAUUUUUGCAUCAUUCUGGACCAAAAAGCCAUUCCCUCCAUGAUGAAGACCACUGAUGCAGCCUUCCACUACAUCAUGAGUAAAACAACUACAGAACUAAAUACCAGGUUGGAACGUAUUUAAGAAAAAUGAAACGUCUUUUGAAUUGAAAUGUCUGUUUUGUUAUGGAAAAAUCUUUAGUAUUGUGAAGGAUAAGCAUUUCUGCCUGCCAGUAAGGUAAUUGCAGUGUAUUUUAAUGUUCAAGUUUUGAGUAGGGUGGCUAAUUUUUUUUAAACUCUCAUUUGAUAUAUUAAAGACCUUAUAAUAAGUGGUUUUCAUGUCACUGCGCUGUGGUAUAAGAUAACUUUCAUUAUUCCAUACUGUAUUCUGUUUCUAAUUGUAGCUGAGGUAUUUAAAUAAGCAGUGUUAAAUGCAAAGUGUUGUGUGUAUCAAUGUAAAUAUUAAAUGUGAUGUACUUUAAUAAAAAGAGGUUUUGCAAUA